CACCACUACUCUGCCAGACCCUCUCUCAUACGCUCCUCCCCAAAACGGCCAGACCACCACCUUCAUGCAGCCCUUUUCUCCCUCAAAUAACAGCCAAACAAAAAGAUUUUUGUCUGAUUCCAUGAUGACACGUGUUGACCCCAGAUUGGCCUUCAAGAGCAUCCAUGAUGGCCAAUCGGAGAGUGACACGUGGCCAAAUGUGC
rnacentral:lncRNA from 1 species